rnacentral:rRNA from 1 species
GACGAACGCUGGCGGCGUGCUUAACACAUGCAAGUCGAACGGAAAGGCCCUGCUUUUGUGGGGUGCUCGAGUGGCGAACGGGUGAGUAACACGUGAGUAACCUGCACUUGACUUUGGGAUAACUUCAGGAAACUGGGGCUAAUACCGGAUAGGAGCUCCUGCUGCAUGGUGGGGGUUGGAAAGUUUCGGCGGUUGGGGUUGGACUCGCGGCUUAUCAGCUUGUUGGUGGGGUAGCGGCUUACCAAGGCUUUGACGGGUAGCCGGCCUGAGAGGGUGACCGGCCACAUUGGGACUGAGGUACGGCCCAGACUGCUACGGGAGGCAGCAGUGGGGAAUAUUGCACAAUGGGCGGAAGCCUGAUGCAGCAACGCCGCGUGCGGGAUGACGGCCUUCGGGUUGUAAACCGCUUUCUCCUGUGACGAAGCGUGAGUGACGGUAAUGGGUAAGGAAGCACCGGCUAACUACGUG